AGUGAACGCUGGCGGUAGGCCUAACACAUGCAAGUCGAACGGCAGCACAGUAAGAGCUUGCUCUUACGGGUGGCGAGUGGCGGACGGGUGAGGAAUACAUCGGAAUCUACUUUUUCGUGGGGGAUAACGUAGGGAAACUUACGCUAAUACCGCAUACGACCUACGGGUGAAAGCAGGGGAUCUUCGGACCUUGCGCGGUUGGAUGAGCCGAUGUCGGAUUAGCUAGUUGGCGGGGUAAAGGCCCACCAAGGCGACGAUCCGUAGCUGGUCUGAGAGGAUGAUCAGCCACACUGGAACUGAGACACGGUCCAGACUCCUACGGGAGGCAGCAGUGGGGAAUAUUGGACAAUGGGCGCAAGCCUGAUCCAGCCAUACCGCGUGGGUGAAGAAGGCCUUCGGGUUGUAAAGCCCUUUUGUUGGGAAAGAAAAGCAGCAGGUUAAUACCCCGCUGUUCUGACGGUACCCAAAGAAUAAGCACCGGCUAACUUCGUG
rnacentral:rRNA from 1 species